UACGGGGGGGGCAAGCGUUGUUCGGAAUUACUGGGCGUAAAGCGCAUGUAGGCGGCCCUGCAAGUCGGAUGUGAAAUCCCACGGCUCAACCGUGGAAGUGCAUUCGAAACUGCAGGGCUAGAGUCCUGGAGAGGAAGGUGGAAUGCUUGGUGUAGAGGUGAAAUUCGUAGAUAUCAAGCGGAACACCGGUGGCGAAGGCGGCCUUCUGGACAGUGACUGACGCUGAGACGCGAAAGCGUGGGGAGCAAACAGG
rnacentral:rRNA from 1 species